rnacentral:rRNA from 1 species
ACCUACGGGGCGCAGCAGUGAGGGAUAUUGGUCAAUGGGGGAAACCCUGAACCAGCAACGCCGCGUGAGGGAAGACGGUUUUCGGAUUGUAAACCUCUGUCCUCUGUGAGGAUAAUGACGGUAGCAGAGGAGGAAGCUCCGGCUAACUACGUGCCAGCAGCCGCGGUAAUACGUAGGGAGCAAGCGUUAUCCGGAAUUAUUGGGUGUAAAGGGUGCGUAGACGGGAUAACAAGUUGGUUGUGAAACCCCUCGGCUCAACUGAGGAACUGCAACCAAACCUAUUAUUCUUGAGUGCA